GAGACACCCCUCCGGGGCAAGACUUGCUUCAAUGGGGCUUUGGUGCUCACUGAGUCUGCUCCCUGAGUAUGUCCUU
rnacentral:pre_miRNA from 1 species